ACAUACAUAGGGCUUCUUAACGCUGUGACUCUUCUCAUGCCUUUGUAAAGGACUGGGAUGCGUGAGGCCUUUCCCAAACAGCUUUUGAACGUGGCUGCUGCAAAACAAAAGAAGCGAGCAUGCCUGAGACAGUGGUUACUAACCACUGAACACGGGAAUGAAUGCUGGUCUCAUGCUGGGAAACAGUUUGUAACGUGUUCAGACUGCAUGCUUUCCAAGUCUCCUGAGGACAGCGCGACUAGAAACAGUGCGAUUCAUGUAUGGUGAGGAGAAGGCUGAGCCUCAGUCACAGUGGAAAACUGCAUAUUGGAGAUACCAGUAGAGGGGGACGAGCAUCCAGGACAGCAGCCUGAGCACAGGAGACUAUCUAUGUAUGCUUCCAGGAGCAGAGCUGGGGAAGUGGAGCUGUCUAAGUCAGUCCUUGGGAGCCCAGGAGAUGGUGCGUCAAUUCCAAUGUGGGACACUAAGCGAGGCAGACUGCACGAGGUUGAAAGUAAAGCAAGUGAAAGAUCUGUUUGAUAAGAACUUAAAGUCUCUGAAGAAAGAAAUCAAAGAAGAUCUCAGAAGAUGGAAAGAUCUCCCAUGCUCAUGGAUUGGCAGGAUUAAUACAGUAAAAAUGGUCAUCUUGCUAAAAGUAAUCUACAGAUUCAAUGCAAUCCGUAUCAAAAUUCCAACUCAGUUCUUCAUAGAGUUAUAAAGAACAAUGUGAAAAUUCAUCUGGAAUAACAAAAAACCUCAGAUGGUGAAAACUAUUUUCAACAAUAAAGGAACUUCUGGUGGAAUCACCAUCACUGACCUCAAGCUGUACUACAGAGCAACUGUGAUAAAAACUACAUGGUAUUGGGAAAGUGACAGGCAGGUAGAUCAAUGGAAUAGAAUUGAAGACCCAGAAA